CAGUUGCUGGUACAGUGCUGCACCUGGCUAAGCAAAUGGUUUAUUUUGGAGCUGAUAAAGCUGCCUUAUGAAAUCAGCUGACAGGGAUGAAUUGUAAAAGCAACAUCAGCUUGACCAGUAUAAAAUUACAGUGGAUUGCUCAUCUCAGUCCUCAAAGCUUUUUGAAAACCAACACCAUCACAGCUUGUUUUGGACUUUGUUACACUGUUAUUUUCAGCAUGAAAAUGUGUGUUUUUUUAGGAUUUCUGAUUCUUCAAAGAGGCACAGAGCCAAAUUGGUAGAGGAAGGAUGCAAAGUAUAAAUUUGUGUAAUAUUACUUUAACAAGCCCAUAUUUUACUUGGAAAUAUUAAAAGAAAGGGUUCUGUAAAAUGGAAAA
rnacentral:sRNA from 1 species